ensembl:lncRNA
CUAAUCUAAUCCCCUCACAAGGGCGUCUACCCUGUUCUACCCCUCGUCUUCAUCUUCGUGCUCUUUUUCUUUUUCCUUUUUCACUGUUGUUCAUCUUUCGCUCUCAGGUGUGUAUCCUUUUCCAAACUCUAACCCAAUAAUAUUUUCUCCUGGGUUCAUUGUAUUCCUCUGUCCCUGUCCCUUUCUCUCCAUCUCCGUGGGGAUCAAAGAAGUAGCCGAGCGAGAGGUCAGAGUUCAUUAGUGGAAACUGAUCACUCGGCGGAGGGACGGGGGGAUUGGGGGCAGAAGGAAAGAAAAACACCACCCCAAAAAAUGUUUUCUAGUCCAGUAGACGGCCUGUUCUAGCAGCAGUAGAAGGUAUAUGUAUAUAUAUAUAUGUAUAAGGGUGUAUAUAGGUGUAUAUGUAUAUAUAUACAGUAUGUAGAAGGGUGUAUAUAGAUAUGUAUAUGUAUACGUCCUAAUAGCAGAGACCAUGAGUCGGUUCCAUCAAAUAAAGAAAGUGAAGUCUCUCUCCUCACUUUUACUCUUGUUUUUGUUUUGUCUUCCGAUGGUCAUGAUUUGAGGAAAAACAAUCUCCGUCAGAAUACUUCUCCAAGAGAGCGCUACUCGUUCUAUAGUGAGGGUCCCCCGGAAUGUUCUUCUCGCGCUGGAAAAAAACGCAAUUCAUUUUUUUUUUCCAAAUAUGAAGCCAUUUUAUGCAGUCCAAACGCGAGUGCUAUUUUAGACCUCUCUCUCGUUGGCGUUGCAUUUCAUAGACUUUUUGCAACGUGUCAUUAAUGGCGGCCUGACCCGACUGAACAAGGGGGCCGAGUGAACUGUGUUUGCGUAGAGUGUGUGUGUGUCCCGUGUUUGUGUAGAGUGUGUGUCCUGUGUUUGCGUAGAGUGGAGUGUGUGUCCUGUGUUUUGUGAGAGAGGGCUAUGGAAAUGACAAGGAUUAGCUGCCCAUGAACGAGUUCUAGAGAACUGGAGGUGAUCAGUGAGCUUCACUCUCUUUUGUCCCGACCGUACGGGCCCCGACUCGGGGGUCACUGGGUUUGAACUCUUCCUCUGUGACUCUGGAUAAUCCACCAGAAGGAAAUGAGCGAUUGUGGGUGGAUAUUUUACCGGACAAUGAACAUCACUGUGUCCCGAGAAUUCAUUUUACACCACAUUCAUUAUCAUUUUUUUAAUUUUUUUUAUCGAGCGAUAUGAUGUUGUGGCUUUUGUCUGCGGAUCCUCUUUUGUGGGUGUCGUAGGUCAGGGCUCUUUACCACACACCGCUGCGCUCCUCCCAUCCACACAGGGGCGCUGUUCUUAAUCCCGGGGGGGGCCUCUCUCCCCCCAACCCAGAACUGUCACUCAUACCCAAGCCCCUCACUAUCAAAGCAGCCAGACAAUGGCUUGUCUUUCCUUCAGUAAGCACAAAGAUGAGUGUAGGAGAGAAGCUUGCAACACAAAAGAUAGCUAGCCGCUUUUCUCUAAAGCAGCAAAGAUGCUUCGCAUGGCCUGACUCCAAGAAUCUCCAAGGGGACCGUGUGUCUGUCACCCCAUGUAAGACUGAACGUUCAUUGGCUGCCCACAUUCUUCGGGGCUGUUGUCUAGACAGUAAGGCUGAAGAAUGGAAUAAAUGCUAUUGUUUAAUUAUAUCACUUAACAAUUUUUUAGAUCGUGUGUAGUACCCCGGUAACCUUUGACCCCAGAGGAGGCUCUUUGUCUCAGAUUGCGUCUCGGAAAUCUCAUUUCUAUUCAUGUUUCCCUUUUUUUCUUCCCUCUGAGGCGAGGGUAGCGAGGGUGUUCUUAGCCUUAAACUGUGUCGUAACGUCAUGUCCUCGGCCUUCGCUUGAAAUCUGACAAGAGUAACAACCCGUGCUGGUGGGAAAAACUGGAAACUGUGACCACUUGAGACUGUCGGUUUUCCAAGACACCUUUUUCCUUUUUCCAAGGAUAAGUCUGCCCGACAUUUUUCCAUAUUUUUUUUGAAUGUCGACAGUUUUUUUUUUUUGCCUCGUUUUAAAAGUGUGACUAAAAUGUGCCUCUUUGUGUUCGAUAUUUACUUAUUUAAUAAUAUACUUUGUGAAAAAUAUGUAUUUUUGUUUUUUUUUGCUGAAACAAAGAUGCAGGUCUAGACGCUGUUGUUGGCGUGUGGAGAAGCUCUGCGGAGCUUUUUGUUGAGUGUGCGACCGUCAGGUCUCGUCAGAGAGAAUGGGAAUAGACAUCACUACGACGUCAGCAAUUAGCAAUUACCAGCAGGCCUGGAUACUCAUUGUCUUGUAACCGAUUGUUAGCCUGUUAAUCUUGUUUUUUUUGUCAAGGAAUUCUGUUUUGUUCCCUUUAAAAAUAAUCUGAUGUUGUAAUGUUUUCCAAAAUCAUUGUACUGUAGUAUUGACCAAAAAAAACAUCGGGGCUGUUUAAUCACAUCUCGUGUUUCAGUUCGGUUAUUUAAAAACAGGAGCGCAGCGAUGGAAUACAAAAGAAAAUCCUUUUCACAAUGUAGCCAUUCUGAAACAAAAACACAC